AUACUGGACCAUGGGGUGGUCACACCAGGGAGGCAGGUUGGAGAGUUUCUCCUCAGUGGUUGUUGCAAUGGGCCAGCCCCAGGCCUUAAAGAAUCCAGCCAGGUUCAUCCCCACAGUCUGGGAGAAAGUCUCAGCGUACAGGUUCAUCUUUCCUUUUUUGUCACUGGGAAAGUUGCUCAUCUCGUGGUAGGCAGCAAAAACCUUCUUAAAGGCAUCCCAG